CCCCCGGGCCCGCGCCCGCCGAAGACACCCUCGAACUCUGUCUGAAGAUUGUAGUCUGAGUGAAAAUAUAAAUUAUUUAAAACUUUCAACAACGGAUCUCUUGGUUCCGGCAUCGAUGAAGAACGCAGCGAAAUGCGAUACGUAAUGUGAAUUGCAAAUUCAGUGAAUCAUCGAGUCUUUGAACGCACAUUGCGCCCCCUGGUAUUCCGGGGGGCAUGCCUGUCCGAGCGUCAUUGCUGCCCUCAAGCACGGCUUGUGUGUUGGGCCCCGUCCUCCGAUCCCGGGGGACGGGCCCGAAAGGCAGCGGCGGCACCGCGUCCGGUCCUCGAGCGUAUGGGGCUUUGUCACCCGCUCUGUAGGCCCGGCCGGCGCUUGCCGAUCAACCCAAAUUUUUAUCCAGGUUGACCUCGGAUCAGGUAGGGAUACCCGCUGAACUUAAGCAUAUCAAUAAGCGGAGGAAAAGAAACCAACAGGGAUUGCCCCAGUAACGGCGAGUGAAGCGGCAAGAGCUCAAAUUUGAAAGCUGGCUCCUUCGGGGUCCGCAUUGUAAUUUGUAGAGGAUGCUUCGGGAGCGGUCCCCAUCUAAGUGCCCUGGAACGGGACGUCAUAGAGGGUGAGAAUCCCGUAUGGGAUGGGGUGUCCGCGCCCGUGUGAAGCUCCUUCGACGAGUCGAGUUGUUUGGGAAUGCAGCUCUAAAUGGGUGGUAAAUUUCAUCUAAAGCUAAAUAUUGGCCGGAGACCGAUAGCGCACAAGUAGAGUGAUCGAAAGAUGAAAAGCACUUUGAAAAGAGAGUUAAAAAGCACGUGAAAUUGUUGAAAGGGAAGCGCUUGCGACCAGACUCGCUCGCGGGGUUCAGCCGGCAUUCGUGCCGGUGUACUUCCCCGCGGGCGGGCCAGCGUCGGUUUGGGCGGUCGGUCAAAGGCCCUCGGAAGGUAACGCCCCUAGGGGCGUCUUAUAGCCGAGGGUGCAAUGCGACCUGCCUAGAC
rnacentral:rRNA from 1 species